GCCUGGGUGGCUCAGUCGGUUAAGCGUCCGACUCCUGAUCUCAGGGUCGUGGGUUCAAGCCCCAUGUUGGGCA